GUGCAGUGGCUGUUCACAGGUGUGAUCAUGGCACGCUGCUUCUCAAACUCCUGGCCUCAAGUGACCCUCCUGCCUCAGUCUCCUGAAGAGUUGGGAUUACGGAGUGCACAGCCUUGUUUGUUUUAGAAGAAAGGACACAGAAGAUUAACCAGAGAAGGAAAAAGCAUGCGGUCUGGAAGAAGAUGUGAACAUUCAUGUUGUAAGCAAUGGGGAGAGACAAUUGGAGUGAGACCCAGGCAUAGGCAACUGGAAUGUGUGCCCCACAGAGGAGGCAGCUUGCGAAGGGGGAGCUUCCUGCUGAGGAAGUUCACUGAGGGAAUACAGACAGCAUCAUCAGAGAUGAGGACUUGCUAUACUGCCCAGGCUGGACAUGAACUCUUUGCCUCAAAGGAUCCUCCCACCUCAGCCUCUCAAAAUACUGAGAUUACAGGUGUGAGCCACCGUGUCUGGCCUGUAUUUGGACAGUUGUUGCAGCAAAGAUGGAAUAAUCAUAUCUUCCCUACAGAGUUCCUGUGAGAAUUCUAGGUGAAAGCCCUUUUAAGUGAUCAAGGGUGAGCUGUCUGUGUGUGUGUGUGUGUAUCAUGACCUAGUUGCUACUAAGGCCUUUGUGUGUAUCAGUGUGCUUCUGCAGCAUGUACUCGUGGUUUUUGUUCCUCUUUUCUCUUACCUUCUUGAUUAGGUUUGUUCUCUUAUUAAAUGAUAUAGUACGUGCAAAAUGCCUGACAUAGCACCUAGAAUCAGGGUUUGUGUGUUAACAGGUAUAAUUGCUAGCGCUGUACCUUCUUUCCCCCCAUAUCUCCAUCUCUUCCCACUGGCUAUCUAUGGUCUGUGGGUGAACCAAGGGACAUUCCUCCUUUGUCAUGAACUUUCAGAGGACUGAUGACUCCCGAGCCUGACUUACAGUCUUUUAAUUCUGGGCAAGACACAACUUGGGGGCCUAAUUGUGAAGUUGAUAAAGCUUAGGUUUUGAAAUCACCAGCUGAAUCAGCAUAAUCUCCACUGCUCAUUUUGCAAAAUCCUACAAGGUGUGGCAUUAGCUAAGAUAUUUAUAAUCAAUGCAGCUGCCUUUCCGUUAGAAAGCAUUGACUCAGACAUCAAAUCUGUGAUAUUUAUUUAGUUCUCAGAAGACUGGCUUUUUACACAUGACCUUUGAGUAUUUACUUAUGAAGGAGUUCAGAAAAUGCUGCCCCCAAAUAUGCUGCUUUGGCAGACUUGUUACUUCAAACUGAGGGUGCUUGGGGAAGAGCAAUUGCAAGAAGGAGCUUUCUCUGAA